rnacentral:lncRNA from 1 species
GUCAGUGACAACCUUGUUGACCUGUUGUGUGUGUUGGUGGGGAGAGAGUGUAGCUACAAAAGACCAAAAAAAGGCCAAACAAAGAAACAAUCCAGACAUUAGCAAUCUUGCCUGUCUAUUCACAAUGGCCUUCACACCCAUGUUAACUGUUCCAUAGUGCUGUGCUCCAUCUUAGGGGCUUGUCCAUCACCUCUCUUCCAGUGUAUAUUUAAAAAUUCAGUUUUUUCUUACCAUUGGUAAAUUCUUUUUAUUGUUCAUAUCACCAGCCUUCCAAAUGCUGUCUUGUAUGUCACAUAGAGAGAAGGCACACUUAGAUUGUUAGAUAACUGGAGACUCACUCUGACUCAUGACCAGGACAGCCUGAAGGUUUUCUUAGGCAUGAAAAUGAGCCAAGAAGCUAUCUCAUGAGCAGAUAAAAAUUAGCCCAGGAAGAAAGGUCAUUAUAUUUUUCCAAAAGAAGUUGGGCAGUCCCAAGGCAGCUGAGUGUGUCUGCUGGACUCACAUCAAUGUUCCAGGGGAGACUGAAGCACACCUUGGCUACUGCUAAGUGAUGGUGGAAGCUGAGGUGACCAGAAAGUUCCAGUUCCCAUUGAGCACCUCCACAAAUGCCUCUGCAACACUGUUGUGUCAUUACGGGGGAGUACCUAUCUGUUAUCUGUUCUUCUUGAAUUGUGACCCUAACUAAGCAUGCUCAGAUGCUUGAGUUGAACAUGCACUGGUUUGGGCCCUUCCCAAAUGCCCCCCCCAUAUCAAUAUGUUUAGGCCUCUAACAAUUCUUCACCCUUCCUUUGUUUGAGGCGAGCACUAUGCUCUCCUGCCUGUAGGUGAUAAACAUCCUUCACGGUUGUGUCCUGACUGUGAUUUUAAGUCUCGCACUUGAAGCUGCUCACACAGCCACAGCUGGGAUGCUGGUGCUAAGCUUGCUUCUUCGGUUUUCUCCAUUUUACUCAGUCCGGGACCCCAGACCAUGGAUGGUGCAACUGACUUUCAGUGCAAGUCUUCCUCACUCAGCUCAACACCCUCCUAAGACACAUCCAGAGAUCUCAGGUCACACUCUAUCACUGAGGAAAGUCAGGGCAGGACCCUGGAGACAGGAACUGAAGUAGAGGCCAUGGGAGAACGCUGCUUGCUGGCUUGCUUCUCAUGCCUUGUUCAGCCUACCUUCUGAUCGAUAUACCUCAAGACCGUCCCCCAUGGGCUGGGCCCCUUCACAUCAACCUGGAUGAAGGCAUUUUUCGCAACUGGGUCUCCCUUUUGCCAAAUGACUAAAGCAUUGAUUGGUCAAGUUGACAAGAUAACCAACACAUGAAGAAGAGAAAUGGGCCUAAUAAAAAAUUUGAAUCCCUG